rnacentral:rRNA from 1 species
AUACGUAGGUGGCAAGCGUUAUCCGGAUUUACUGGGUGUAAAGGGCGCGUAGGCGGCCCGGUAAGUCUGGAGUGAAAGUCCUGUUUUUAAGAUGGGAAUUGCUUUGGAUACUGUCGGGCUUGAGUGCAGGAGAGGUAAGUGGAAUUCCCAGUGUAGCGGUGAAAUGCGUAGAGAUUGGGAGGAACACCAGUGGCGAAGGCGACUUACUGGACUGUAACUGACGCUGAGGCGCGAAAGUGUGGGGAGCAAACAGGAUUAGAUACCCUGGUAGUCCACACUGUAAACGAUGAAUGCUAGGUGUAGGGGGUAUCGACCCCUUCUGUGCCGCAGUCAACACAAUAAGCAUUCCGCCUGGGGAGUACGGCCGCAAGGUUGAAACUCAAAGGAAUUGACGGGG